GACCCACCGCCACCGGUAAGGCGGUGAAACCGAAAAGGCGAACGAAAUUGAAAAUGCGAAAAAGAAAAAGACCAGGAAUCAGGACUUCAGGAGAGAACAACUCUUCUACCCCGACAGUGAAGUCGUCGUCACGUCUGUGUCUGUGAGGUAUGGAGGGAUUCCUCCACAAGCUUUCGUUGGUCAUCAUCCUUUCUAGUUUCCAACUAUCGGCUCUUUCUUCCCUUCUUCUAUUUCUCUGUCUCCUUGUUUCUCUUCUCAUUUUCUUUUGCUACUCGGUUGGAUCCUUUGCUCUUACCCCCCUCUGUCUUAAGUUGUAAAGAAUGGCUAUUGAUCUGAAAUUGGAAUACAGCGUAUUUCUCUUUCUUCCUAUCAUAGAAAGAUGGUGUCGUCCUAUCAACGAAGCCGGGUACGCAUUAGAAGAGUGGGGAUCUGAUCGGCCUCAGCAAUGCAUGCGUGCGCCUACUCUCUUCCCUUGGACGGUGCUCCCUCGCAUGAUCAAAUAACAUCAAUCAAGAAAUUCCAUGGAGGCCUUUCUGGAACUGUCAAAUCCUUGCCAAAGUACUUAGAAGAUUUUUUGAAGCCAUAUUUUUUAGCUCCAAAAGAAGUGACUCAUUGGAGAAGUUUCUGGGGAAAGUCAAAGGGGUGGGCUUGCAAUUCAACAUAACUGAAGUCUACAACCAAGAAGUUCGGAAGCUUCAUCAGAGUUUUAGAUUUAGAUGGUUUCUAUUCCAAUUAUGAAAAGGAUCAAUGCUACCCAUCAUUGAUCACAAUCACAUUCUAAACUUCUGGGACCUAUUUUCCUUCUUUCUUUCCCAGGCCCCAAUCGACAAGGUAAUUCUGCACAUAUUCCUCAAAUCAUAUUAAGUUUUUACAUAGAGUUGUUUACAUAUCAUGCUUGUUUGCUGAUUAUAGGCUAUAUGUGGUCCUGCACUAGUUUUUUUUCCGGGAAAAUAAUAAAUUUCUGAUUACAUAUACUUUUAGAAUACCGAUAUGCUUUGUUACUUGGCAUAUUGAUAGGUCCCAUAUACUUGUCUUCACAUUGAUUCACCACUACGAGUGGAUCCAUGGCCCCUGCUCAUUCGAGGUCUAUCAAUAGGAAAAUAAAAUCAUUUAGUUAACAACUUUUACUGAUUCUCUCAUAUAUAAUUCCUUGUAUUACAAAAUUGGGUGAGUGCAUUGAAACUUUUGGCAGAGCAGAAAGAAUCUUAUCUUUAUGUGAGCAUGCUUUUAAUUAUAGCCAUCCAUGAGUAUAGACAAUAACAUUCCAGCAAAAGGAUGAUGCGUAGAAAUGUCAAAAGAUGCAAAUAUGAUGCUCUCUAGAUUAAGUAAAUGGAAUUUAUUAUGGAACGUGGGAUCUUUGCACUGUGCUUUAUGAAAUUAUAUGUUAAAGUGCAUUUUAGGAAACAUUGUCUGAACCGGUUGUAUGUGAUUGUUUCUUUUUGCACACCCUAGCUGGUUUUGAUCCCAUAAGUUGCAGGAAUACCCUCAAAAAUUGUGUAGCUUAAUACUGUUCUGUUUAUAUGCUUUUGAAUUUAGAAUCUUACUAAAAUUAUAAGACCAGUUUCUAGUUUAUGAGACAAUCCUAGUGAAAGAUAAAUGGUACCCUGAAUUCGUAUAAUAAUAAAAUGAUUACAUAAGGGUACUAAUGCCUUUUAGAAAGGUGAUUGGAAUGCCAAGAACUUAAGGGCCGGUUAUUUGUCAGAUUAUCUAUAAUAUAUAAUAUAAAGUGGAUAUUUACCUUGAGUUCUGUGUAGGUAAUAAAAGUUGAAUCCAAAUAACAUAUAUCUGUAGGAAUAAUACUUGCAGCAUAUGUGCAUAGCAUGUGGUUUUACACUAGUUUUAUAUAAAAUGGAAGAGUAUCAAAUUGAAGGGUUAGGAUGAUCGGAUCCUCUAUGAUCCAGUGGAGACAAUUCUCUAUUGGCCCAAUGAAAUAGUGCCUGGUUGCCUACUUAGGAAGUGACAGAAGCGCCCUGACGUGGAGAAAUCGCUUAGCUGUUUCUUGCCACUUGUGAAAGAAAAGCUGAAACUCUCUGCACUUGACAGCAAUAAGGGGAAAUUGAGAAGUGGUGGAAGAAUGAUUGAAGUGGAUUACUAGAUUUGCAAGUAAACCAUCAGUUAUGCCUGAAGUGGUAAAAGUUCUAUGUUCACACAAUAAAGAGUUUAGAGUUCUUAAUGGGCAAGCACCGAGUUGUAAAAGUUAGCCAAAGCCAAGGUUGAUCCCACUUUCCAAGUCCUUGACAGGGUGGUUCAUUGUAGCAUUAUCAAAUCUGGAUGAUGAAGACUACUAAACGAAAUCAAUUUUACAGAACUUUAGAGAUAAAAACUGAAGCCCACCCAAUUGACGAAAAUGAACUCUAGAAAAAGUUGGCUUGUUUCUUUCCAAUAUUUGGUGGCUCAGUGUCUCCUCUUGUCAAGUUGAUCAAUCACUACCACAGUCCACUAAAACAAGAAUCUUAUCCGUGGCCCUUCCUCGAUCGAUUUCAGACAUCUGGGCUGUAUUGAUUCCAUGAGAACACGGUUCCUUUCAGUUUUAGCCGACCAUUUAUCCAAAUAGAAGCAGACGACUUUCAAACAGUAUUUAAGAUGUUCAGUCCACAUGCAUUUGGUCCAUUUGGCAUCCAAUGAUCCAUUAUCGAACUGUUACGUCAGUUCUCAAUUAAUUUUCCUCUGGCCCCUUGGAUUCAGUGAUAUUAAACAUCCAAUCAACCUAAAUAUUCUGGCCCUUUGUGAAUGACUUUUGCCAGAUUACGAUUGAUUGAUGAGAAUGAUGGAAUGAACAAGCAUGGUUUGGAGGUUACCAUCACAUAAUGCAAAAGCACCAUGUAAAAAUUUCAACUGCAUCGUGACUAUGCUGGAUAGGAUUAUUAUAGUUCUCUCUCUUUCACUCAAGCCAGAUUUGAGAUUUUACCUAAAACAACUCAGAGAAAGGUUUAUUUCACUUGACAGAAUCUCCCAGAAACCAUGAUUUUAAAAUACACCCAAGACCCAACUACUGCUACAUUAUUCGGCAUUCCCAACAAACCAUGAUUUUAAAAUAUACCCAAGACCCAACUACUGCUACAUUAUUCGGCAUUCCCAACAAACCAUGAUUUUACUUCAAAUAUACAUAUAUAUAUAUAUAUAUAUAUAUAUAUAUAACAAUAGAAGAACAUAAACAGUGAAUACAUGAAACUUUCUUUUACAACAUGAAUGGUCAUCCUACCUCCCAUAGCAGACAAAGCGACAAGCUAUCAAGCUUGUAACUCCCGCAAAGUGGUCCUUUCUUACAUACCAACCAAUCAUAGACAGAUUCCUGUUAAAGCAAUACUUUACUCUUAAGUGUUUUGUCUUAAACCAAAGAGAGAGCUUAGCCCCUUCCUUUGUUGCUUUAGCUCCACAAUUACAGAAUAAUCUUAAGAGUUAAAAAA